ensembl:lncRNA
CAGGAGUUCUCUCCAGGCACUCUUGUGAGUUACAUAAGGGCUUCCUGUUGAAACCAUUUCUUGGCCCCGGGGCUUCUGUGAAGCCGGCGAGCUAUCCUGUAAGCUGGCACGAUGCCACUGUAACAGAUGGCCAGCAGUGCAGGCAGCAGAGACCAUGGAGGAGCAUCGCAAGUGAAUGCUGAGGGGAUGGAACCUGUACCCCUCUGCACCGCCGCGUUGUAAGCAAGCGUGUCUACAUGCUCAGUUGUGUCCAACUCUUUGCGACCCGAUGGACUGUAGCCCUCCAGGCUCCUCCGUCUGUGGGAUUUUUCCAGACAAGAAUACUGGAGUGAGUUGCCAUUUCCUCCUCCAGGGGAUCUUCCCAAUCCAGGGAUAGACCCAGAGUCUCCUGUGUCUUCUGCAUUGGCAGGCGGAUUCUUUACCACUGAGCCACCUGAGAAGUUCCCCCUUGCACUGGAAGGCAAAGUAUUAACCACUGGAUGGCCAGCAAAGUCCCUUGCUUACUUGAUUUUAAUGAAAAGGUGUGGAUCCCUUCUUGACAGCAAGCAGACUCUGGGGUGGUUCUCAGAAGUAAGAGGUCAAGCUAAAGAUUUUGGAGUCUUCUUCCAACUCUGGAUAAUUGAAACCAAAAAAGGAACACACUUACAAAACUUGAAAAAAUAUUCAUUAUAUCAAAAUGGAAAUUAUUUUCGUAUUUCUUCAAAAUGUGUAUGGCUUACAAGUUUUUACAUUUCUUUCUUUUGAGGUUUUUUUAAAAAUUUUUUAAUUUAGCUAGUGAUGUGUAGUUAUCUUUGCUUCCCUCCUUUUUAUUAUUAUGCUUUUUUUUGCAUUAAAGUUACCUCUGGAGUGUAAAGCAAGUGUUUGCUUCCUGCUUUGGAAACUUUCUGUGGUUAUUCAGAUUGGCACCACGUCACUGCCAGGUUA